GAGAGGAUUACUACGAGGAGGAAAGGGUCUAUGCUUUGGGGGAGGGAAACUUGGAAUAGCGACACUAUUGUGGCCAUUGCGAAUGCAAGCACCCUAGGAAUUAGGCAAGAAAAACUUUGCUUUUAUAGGGAAUAGGCUAGUGGGAUUAAACAGAAGAACAGGAGAGGUAAGGAGGUGUGGGCUAGAAGGCCAUGAAUACUUUAUCCUGAGAGCUAAAACAUUUGAGGCUGCUUGCUGUCCCAGGCUGAGGGUGGGCCAACUUCCAGGGGCCUGGAGGAAGGGGAGGAGCUAAACCAGAGUUUGGUGCACAAGCACUUUGUUCUGACUUGUGGGGACAAGUAGUUCUGUGCAUCACUUGUGAGAUACAGUGUUAUGGUUUGGAUGUGAGGUGUCCCCCAAAAGCUCAGGGGAGAGACAAUGCAAGAAGGUUCAGAAGUGAAAUGAUCAGGCUACGGGAGCUGUAACCUCAUCACUGGAUUAAUCCACUGAUAGGAUUAACUGGGUGGUGACUGUAGGCAGGUAGGGUGUAGGCAGAGGAAGCAGGUCACCGGGGUAUAUAUUUACAUUUCAUUCCUGGCAAGCUGAGCUCUCUGCUUUCUGGCUGUCACAUCCUGAGCUGCUUCCCACCAUCACACCCUUCUGCCAUGAUGUUCUGCCUCCCCUUAGGCCAGGGCCAUGCAGUCAACCAACAGUGGACCGAACCUCUGAAAACCCAUGAGCCAAAGAUGAACUUUCCCUCCUGUACAUUGCUCUUGCCAGGUCUUCU
rnacentral:lncRNA from 1 species